rnacentral:rRNA from 1 species
UACGGGGGGUGCGAGCGUUGUCCGGAAUCACUGGGCGUAAAGGGUGCGUAGGCGGGUCUUUAAGUCAGGGGUGAAAUCCUGGAGCUCAACUCCAGAACUGCCUUUGAUACUGAGGAUCUUGAGUUCGGGAGAGGUGAGUGGAACUGCGAGUGUAGAGGUGAAAUUCGUAGAUAUUCGGAAGAACACCAGUGGCGAAGGCGGCUCACUGGACUGGUAUUGACGCUGAGGUGCGAAAGCGUGGGGAGCAAACAGG